rnacentral:rRNA from 1 species
CUACCGGGGUAUCUAAUCCUGUUUGCUCCCCACGCUUUCGCGCCUCAGCGUCAGUGAUGGUCCAGUUGGCCGCCUUCGCCACCGGUGUUCUUGCGAAUAUCUACGAAUUUCACCUCUACACUCGCAGUUCCACCAACCUCUACCACACUCAAGCCAAGCAGUAUCGAAGGCAAUUCCGUGGUUGAGCCACGGGCUUUCACCCCCAACUUACAAGGCCGCCUACGCGCCCUUUACGCCCAGUGAUUCCGAGCAACGCUAGCCCCCUUCGUAUUACCGCGGCUGCUGGCAC